AUUGAACGCUGGCGGCAUGCCUUACACAUGCAAGUCGAACGGCAGCACGGGAGCAAUCCUGGUGGCGAGUGGCGAACGGGUGAGUAAAGUAUCGGAACGUGCCCAGUCGUGGGGGAUAACGUAGCGAAAGUUACGCUAAUACCGCAUACGAUCUAUGGAUGAAAGCGGGGGAUCGCAAGACCUCGCGCGAUUGGAGCGGCCGAUAUCAGAUUAGGUAGUUGGUGGGGCAAAGGCUCACCAAGCCGACGAUCUGUAGCUGGUCUGAGAGGACGACCAGCCACACUGGGACUGAGACACGGCCCAGACUCCUACGGGAGGCAGCAGUGGGGAAUGUUGGACAAUGGGCGCAAGCCUGAUCCAGCCAUGCCGCGUGCAGGAUGAAGGCCUUCGGGUUGUAAACUGCUUUUGUACGGAACGAAAAGGUUUGGCUUAAUACGUUGAACUCAUGACGGUACCGUAAGAAUAAGCACCGGCUAACUACGUGCCAGCCGCCGCGGUAA
rnacentral:rRNA from 1 species